AGAUUAAGUUAUUAAGGGCGCACGGUGGAUGCCUUGGCACUAGAAGCCGAUGAAGGACGUUACUAACGACGAUAUGCUUUGGGGAGCUGUAAGUAAGCUUUGAUCCAGAGAUUUCCGAAUGGGGAAACCCAGCAUGAGUUAUGUCAUGUUAUCGAUAUGUGAAUACAUAGCAUAUCAGAAGGCACACCCGGAGAACUGAAACAUCUUAGUACCCGGAGGAAGAGAAAGAAAAUUCGAUUCCCUUAGUAGCGGCGAGCGAAAUGGGAAGAGCCCAAACCAACAAGCUUGCUUGUUGGGGUUGUAGGACACUCUAUACGGAGUUACAAAGGACGACAUUAGACGAAUCAUCUGGAAAGAUGAAUCAAAGAAGGUAAUAAUCCUGUAGUCGAAAAUGUUGUCUCUCUUGAGUGGAUCCUGAGUACGACGGAGCACGUGAAAUUCCGUCGGAAUCUGGGAGGACCAUCUCCUAAGGCUAAAUACUCUCUAGUGACCGAUAGUGAACCAGUACCGUGAGGGAAAGGUGAAAAGCACCCCGGAAGGGGAGUGAAAUAGAACCUGAAACCGUGUGCUUACAAGUAGUCAGAGCCCGUUAAUGGGUGAUGGCGUGCCUUUUGUAGAAUGAACCGGCGAGUUACGAUUUGAUGCAAGGUUAAGCAGUAAAUGUGGAGCCGUAGCGAAAGCGAGUCUGAAUAGGGCGUUUAGUAUUUGGUCGUAGACCCGAAACCAGGUGAUCUACCCUUGGUCAGGUUGAAGUUCAGGUAACACUGAAUGGAGGACCGAACCGACUUACGUUGAAAAGUGAGCGGAUGAACUGAGGGUAGCGGAGAAAUUCCAAUCGAACCUGGAGAUAGCUGGUUCUCUCCGAAAUAGCUUUAGGGCUAGCCUCAAGUGAUGAUUAUUGGAGGUAGAGCACUGUUUGGACGAGGGGCCCCUCUCGGGUUACCGAAUUCAGACAAACUCCGAAUGCCAAUUAAUUUAACUUGGGAGUCAGAACAUGGGUGAUAAGGUCCGUGUUCGAAAGGGAAACAGCCCAGACCACCAGCUAAGGUCCCAAAAUAUAUGUUAAGUGGAAAAGGAUGUGGCGUUGCCCAGACAACUAGGAUGUUGGCUUAGAAGCAGCCAUCAUUUAAAGAGUGCGUAAUAGCUCACUAGUCGAGUGACACUGCGCCGAAAAUGUACCGGGGCUAAACAUAUUACCGAAGCUGUGGAUUGUCCUUUGGACAAUGGUAGGAGAGCGUUCUAAGGGCCUUGAAGCAUGAUCGUAAGGACAUGUGGAGCGCUUAGAAGUGAGAAUGCCGGUGUGAGU
rnacentral:rRNA from 1 species